GACGAACGCUGGCGGCGUGCUUAACACAUGCAAGUCGAACGCUGAAGCCCUUCGGGGUGGAUGAGUGGCGAACGGGUGAGUAACACGUGGGUAAUCUGCCCUGCACUCUGGGAUAAGCCUUGGAAACGGGGUCUAAUACCGGAUAGGACACGUGGCCGCAUGGUCUGCGUGUGGAAAGCUCCGGCGGUGCAGGUUGAGCCCGCGGCCUAUCAGCUUGUUGGUGGGGUGAUGGCCUACCAAGGCGACGACGGGUAGCCGGCCUGAGAGGGUGACCGGCCACACUGGGACUGAGACACGGCCCAGACUCCUACGGGAGGCAGCAGUGGGGAAUCUUGCGCAAUGGGCGAAAGCCUGACGCAGCAACGCCGCGUGGGGGAUGACGGCCUUCGGGUUGUAAACCUCUUUCGACAUCGACGAAGCCUUCGGGUGACGGUAGGUGUAGAAGAAGCACCGGCUAACUACGUGCCAGCAGCCGCAGUAAAAC
rnacentral:rRNA from 1 species